CCCUUGGGCUCCCACUCUCUCAUGCCCAUCUCUCCCUCUCCAUCCGGUGCAGCCCACCUUCGGCCCACCUCCUUUUCUUCCUCUGGCCCGAGCUGGCCACUUCUUCUUUGGCCCGUACCCCUUCGAGCGGAGAAGUUCUCGAUGCACAGCAUCGUUGUCGUCUUCCUUCCUCACGCUGGCAGCGUGAGCAACCUGGUCCUCCCCAACCACCGCACCACCACAUUUUUCCUCCUCCUUUUAAUCCCCCUUGAGGUCCCAGAAACCCUAGCCUUCCUCCCUCUUGCCGCCGCCACUCUCUUCUUUUCCUCUUGAUCUUUCCCUGUGAGAAAACGUACCAGGCAACACACCCUUGUACGACCACCAUGGCACCGCGUCCUCCUCCUCAUCUCCCCGCCAAACCAAACCGUCCCCCGCCGUUCCGAGGGCAUCGGCGGAUGCGCCUCGUCGUCCUCUUCCUCGUGGUGAAAGGAAUCGAGCCGGGAUCGCUUCAAUCGACGCCAAGCUCGCCGAUUCCCCACUCUGGCUACCACACUCCGGCGCCGAUUCCGGCCGGCCUAGUCCUUCCCCGGCAACUUAGACCUCACCAGCAUGUUCCUGGAGCUCGUCGCCGGCAACACUCCGGCCACCCCCUGGACUCUGGCACCACCACCAUCGGCCUCCCCACGUCCAGCCGCAUCCCCCACGUCAUCUUCCGCUUCCCGGUUCGCCCUGAAUCGUCGGAUUGAUUCGCAACUUCUUCCUCCGCCAUGGCUGUAAUGUUGAAGCUCGUCCCUGGCACUGCUUGUUCAAGUUUUUCCGCGCCCUUUUGUUGACACGUUCGAACUACUAACUCAGUGAUCCGGCGCCAUGGAUGGGCCUUGGCCCAGAUCUUCCGAGCAGCCGUUGCCCGCGCGU